GUACAGGUAGAGUUUGAUCCNUGGNNNCNGGNAUCCCUGUAAUUAGNGGCGGANGGGUGAGUAACACGUGGGCAACCUGCCUAUAAGACUGGGAUAACUUCGGGAAACCGGAGCUAAUACCGGAUACGUUCUUUUCUCGCAUGAGAGAAGAUGGAAAGACGGUUUACGCUGUCACUUAUAGAUGGGCCCGCGGCGCAUUAGCUAGUUGGUGAGGUAAUGGCUCACCAAGGCGACGAUGCGUAGCCGACCUGAGAGGGUGAUCGGCCACACUGGGACUGAGACACGGCCCAGACUCCUACGGGAGGCAGCAGUAGGGAAUCUUCCGCAAUGGACGAAAGUCUGACGGAGCAACGCCGCGUGAACGAAGAAGGCCUUCGGGUCGUAAAGUUCUGUUGUUAGGGAAGAACAAGUACCAGAGUAACUGCUGGUACCUUGACGGUACCUAACCAGAAAGCCACGGCUAACUACGUGCCAGCAGCCGCGGUAAUACGUAGGUGGCAAGCGUUGUCCGGAAUUAUUGGGCGUAAAGCGCGCGCAGGUGGUUCCUUAAGUCUGAUGUGAAAGCCCACGGCUCAACCGUGGAGGGUCAUUGGAAACUGGGGAACUUGAGUGCAGAAGAGGAAAGUGGAAUUCCAAGUGUAGCGGUGAAAUGCGUAGAGAUUUGGAGGAACACCAGUGGCGAAGGCGACUUUCUGGUCUGUAACUGACACUGAGGCGCGAAAGCGUGGGGGAGCAAACAGGAUUAGAUACCCUGGUAGUCCACGCCGUAAACGAUGAGUGCUAAGUGUUAGAGGGUUUCCGCCCUUUAGUGCUGCAGCUAACGCAUUAAGCACUCCGCCUGGGGAGUACGGCCGCAAGGCUGAAACUCAAAGGAAUUGACGGGGGCCCGCACAAGCGGUGGAGCAUGUGGUUUAAUUCGAAGCAACGCGAAGAACCUUACCAGGUCUUGACAUCCUCUGACAACCCUAGAGAUAGGGCUUUCCCCUUCGGGGGACAGAGUGACAGGUGGUGCAUGGUUGUCGUCAGCUCGUGUCGUGAGAUGUUGGGUUAAGUCCCGCAACGAGCGCAACCCUUGAUCUUAGUUGCCAGCAUUCAGUUGGGCACUCUAAGGUGACUGCCGGUGACAAACCGGAGGAAGGUGGGGAUGACGUCAAAUCAUCAUGCCCCUUAUGACCUGGGCUACACACGUGCUACAAUGGAUGGUACAAAGGGCUGCAAACCUGCGAAGGUAAGCGAAUCCCAUAAAGCCAUUCUCAGUUCGGAUUGCAGGCUGCAACUCGCCUGCAUGAAGCCGGAAUCGCUAGUAAUCGCGGAUCAGCAUGCCGCGGUGAAUACGUUUCCGGGCAAGGUACCCNUCGCUCGUCACACCGUAGAGUUNACCACGGCUCAGUAAGUCGUAACAAGGUAGCCGUAAGU
rnacentral:rRNA from 1 species